GCGCCCGUAGCUCAGUUGGAUAGAGCGCUGCCCUCCGGAGGCAGAGGUCUCAGGUUCAAUUCCUGACGAGCGCG
rnacentral:tRNA from 2 species